AAGUCGUAACAAGGUAACCGUAGGUGAACCUGCGGUUGGAUCAUUACCAAUCCUAGACUCUUUGAGUCUUUAACACCUGUGCACUAUCAUAUUGUUUCUGGGAGAAGGUUCCGACCCUCCCACCAUUUUAUAAACCUUACUAUUUGUCUGAUAUUAUAAUAUAAUAUAAAAACAACUUUUGACAACGGAUCUCUUGGCUCUC
rnacentral:misc_RNA from 1 species